GAUGAACGCUGGCGGCGUGCUUAACACAUGCAAGUCGAACGGUGAAAGCGGAGCUUGCUCUGCUGGAUCAGUGGCGAACGGGUGAGUAACACGUGAGCAACCUGCCCCGGACUCUGGGAUAACAGUUGGAAACAGCUGCUAAUACCGGAUACGAGCUGCGAAGGCAUCUUCAGCAGCUGGAAAGAACUUCGGUCUGGGAUGGGCUCGCGGCCUAUCAGCUUGUUGGUGAGGUAAUGGCUCACCAAGGCGUCGACGGGUAGCCGGCCUGAGAGGGUGACCGGCCACACUGGGACUGAGACACGGCCCAGACUCCUACGGGAGGCAGCAGUGGGGAAUAUUGCACAAUGGGCGGAAGCCUGAUCCAGCAACGCCGCGUGAGGGAUGACGGCCUUCGGGUUGUAAACCUCUUUCAGCACAGACGAAGCGCCUCUAGGGGUGGUGACGGUAUGUGCAGAAGAAGCACCGGCCAACUACGUGCCAGCAGCCGCCGUAAAAC
rnacentral:rRNA from 1 species